AAACAUUGCACACGUGGGCUCCGACGCAGAAGCUCAGCAAGCAGUACAUUCAUAUCGUGUGAUCGUGCUCAACUCCAUUGAAUUCGACUCAAGAUGCCUGAUCCCUGCUGCAUUGAUAAAUGCGAGUGCGCCGAGGGAGGCUGCAAGAAAGGAUGCGUGUGCAAGAGCUGUCGCUGUGAACCCUGUGAGAAAUGCACAACGGGGUGUUCUUGUCCCUCGAAGGAGGACUGUGCCAAGACUUGCUCCAAACCAUGCAAGUGUUGUCCAUAGGCUAAGCGCCUCAUGACUGCCAGCAUGACGGUCUCUCCCGUGCGGCGGAGCGAGCAGGAGAGGGAGAAGACUGAAGAUUGGGACCAGUCGUGUGAUUUAUAGGUUAUGAAAGAUUCUACAUUCUAUAGGUCUAUGUUGGCUCUGACAUAAAUUAUUCUGUUAAUGAUCUCUUAUCUUUUCUAAUAUAUCGAAUAGACUUUUAUUUUUUUUUGUAUUAAAUAAAUACGAGUCAAAC